CUGUCCUGCAUACUACACUUCAGCUCCACUGACUCAGAGGUGAAGACGGCAGACCAUGGUGUCUGGAGAGCCACCGAUGGAACGGGAAUCUCUGCACACAAGCCAACAUAAGUACAAAUGUCCAACAUACAACGGCCCAAAACAUGGUUCCUUCUUUAAGGUAGGGCUGGGUCUGUCGUCCAAAUGGGACAAUAUAACAAAGGCCUUGGGAAACUGCUAGGCAGCAGAAGGGAGUUGAAUUCCAACUCUGUACCAACGAUAUUCCCCAUUUAGAGGAAACAUUCACCUGGCAGCUAAGGGACACAGACCACAACAUACUCAAAACAUGAAUCAUUCAUAAGGUAAGCCUUGGUCUGGUGCCCGAAAUUGGACAGUUUAAUACAUUUUAAUCAAUUAAAUGCGUUCAAUUGAAUCAAUUCAAUUACAUUUUAAUAGAUUAAAUGCAAAUAUAAUAAAUGUCAUAUAAUCUGAUUUGAUUUAAAUUAAAUUAAAUAAAUGAUAUUUUUAACAUAGAUGCAUAUAUAUCGCGGUUACUACACUUUUCAUUAGUAGUCAUAAAUAUAAUUGAGAUAUAUUGUUUUUUUUUGUGGUAUGUCACUUUUAUAAUUAUUUCAAAAGUCCUGUAAAUGUUGCAGCUGUGUCACCUUACCACUAUGAUUAGAUUCUGUAAUCAUAAUGCACAUUAGCAAUAACUCACCUUUGACCUCUAAGGACUGUGGUUUGCUGGGUUCAGACUUAACAGGUCUGCCCUUGAGUUGUCCAGUACAGGUGUACUGUCCCGCAUGCUCUGGUCUAACCUGGCUAAUCAUGAGAUCAGAUCCUUCGGACCCAAAGGAGACACCUGCCCCCUGCACCACCUCUUGCCCUCCUCUGUACCAGGUAUAGGUCCAGAGGUCUGGGCUGUCCUGCAUACUACACUUCAGCUCCACUGACUCAGAGGUGAAGACGGCAGACCAUGGUGUCUGGAGAGCCACCGAUGGAACGGGAAUCUCUGCACACAAGCCAACAUAAGUAUAAAUGUCCAACAUACAACGGCCCAAAACAUGGUUCCUUCUUUAAGGUAGGGCUGGGUCUGUCGUCCAAAUGGGACAAUAUAACAAAGGCCUUGGGAAACUGCUAGGCAGCAGAAGGGAGUUGAAUUCCAACUCUGUACCAACGAUAUUCCCCAUUUAGAGGAAACAUUCACCUGGCAGCUAAGGGACACAGACCACAACAUACUCAAAACAUGAAUCAUUCAUAAGGUAAGCCUUGGUCUGGUGCCCGAAAUUGGACAGUUUAAUACAUUUUAAUCAAUUAAAUGCGUUCAAUUGAAUCAAUUCAAUUACAU